GACGAACGCUGGCGGCGUGCCUAAUACAUGCAAGUAGAACGAGUGGCGGACGGGUGCGUAAUGUCUGGGAAACUGCCUGAUGGAGGGGGAUAACUACUGGAAACGGUAGCUAAUACCGCAUACCAUCAGAUGUGCCCAGAUGGGAUUAGCUGGUAGGUGGGGUAACGGCGUACCUAGGCGACGAUCCCUAGCUGGUCUGAGAGGAUGACCAGCCACACUGGAACUGAGAAACGGUCCAGACUCCUACGGGAGGCAGCAGUGGGGAAUAUUGCACGAUGGGCGCAAGCCUGAUGCAGCCAUGCCGCGUGUAUGAAGAAGGCCUUCGGGUUGUAAAGUACUUUCAGCGAGGAGGCGUUACUCGCAGAAGAAGCACCGGCUAACUCCGUGCCAGCCGCCGCGGUAAUAC
rnacentral:rRNA from 1 species